ensembl:misc_RNA Metazoa_SRP Metazoan signal recognition particle RNA
GCUGGGCAUGGUGGCGCAUGCCUGUAAUCCCAGCUACUCAGGAGGUUGAGGCAGGAGAAUCACUCGAACUGGGGAGUUGGAGGUUGCAGUGAGCCGAGAUUGCGCCACUGCACUCCAGCCUGGCAAUAGAGUGAGACUCUGUCUCAA